rnacentral:rRNA from 1 species
UACGAAGGGGGCUAGCGUUGCUCGGAAUGACUGGGCGUAAAGGGCGCGUAGGCGGUUUGGACAGUCAGAUGUGAAAUUCCUGGGCUCAACCUGGGGGCUGCAUUUGAUACGUUCGGACUAGAGUACUAAAGAGGGUCGCGGAAUUCCCGGUGUAGAGGUGAAAUUCGUAGAUAUCGGGAGGAACACCGGUGGCGAAGGCGGCGACCUGGGUAGAUACUGACGCUGAGGUGCGAAAGCGUGGGGAGCAAACAGG